UGAAAUGUUAACUAAACAAAAAUUAAUCUAAUCUACAUACCCAAGCACCCCAUAAACUACAGUUGUCUUUCCAAUAUCCAAUCUUAAUCUACCUGGUAUACACAAAACCAACCAUCCAAGAAACACGAAGGAGCUUUCUGUUGUUACAAAGAAGAAGAAAAAGAAGAGGAUAAUAAGGACUAUGAAGCAGAUUAAUUUUUGUUUAGUUAACAUUUCA
rnacentral:misc_RNA from 1 species